rnacentral:rRNA from 1 species
UACAGAGACUGCAAGCGUUAUUCGGAUUCACUGGGCGUAAAGGGUGCGCAGGCGGUUGUGUGUGUCAGGUGUGAAAGCCCGGGCUUAACCCGGAAUUGCGCCUGAAACUACAUGACUAGAGCAUUGGAGAGGGUAGCGGAAUUCACGGUGUAGCAGUGAAAUGCGUAGAUAUCGUGAGGAACACCAGAGGCGAAGGCGGCUACCUGGACAAUUGCUGACGCUCAGGCACGAAAGCGUGGGAGCAAAAGG